UAUUAGUAGAGAAGCGUGUGAGCCAGCUGCCAAGAAAAGCCGCUAUUGUUUCAUAAGUACCCGUACCGUAAACCGACACAGGUGGAUGAGGAGAGAAUCCUAAGGCCGGCGGGAGAAGUGUUGUUAAGGAACUCGGCAAAAUGACUCCGUAACUUCGGGAGAAGGAGUGCCACAGAGAUGUGGCCGCAGAGAAAUGGCCCAAGCAACUGUUUAGCAAAAACACAGGUCUAUGCAAAACCGAAAGGUGAGGUAUAUGGGCUGACGCCUGCCCGGUGCUGGAAGGUUAAGAGGAGAGGUUAGAGCAAUCGAAGCUUUGAAUUUAAGCCCCAGUAAACGGCGGCCGUAACAAUAACGGUCCUAAGGUAGCGAAAUUCCUUGUCGGGUAAGUUCCGACCCGCACGAAAGGCGUAAUGAUUUGGGCACUGUCUCAACAACACACCCGGUGAAAUUGAAAUACCAGUGAAGAUGCUGGUUACCUGCGCCAGGACGGAAAGACCCCAUGGAGCUUUACUCCAGUUUGAUACUGGGAUUCGGUACUGUCUGUACAGGAUAGGUGGGAGGCUAGGAAAUGGUGACGCCAGUUGCCAUGGAGCCAACCUUGGGAUACCACCCUUACAGUACUGGGUUUCUAACCUGCAGCCGUAACCCGGCUGGGGGACAAUGUCUGACGGGGAGUUUGACUGGGGCGGUCGCCUCCGAAAGAGUAUCGGAGGCGCUCAAAGGUUCCCUCAGAACGGUUGGAAACCGUUCGAAGAGUGCAAAGGCAGAAGGGAGCUUGACUGCGACACCGACGGGUGGAGCAGAUACGAAAGUAGGACUUAGUGAUCCGGUGGUAUAAAGUGGGAUUGCCAUCGCUCAACGGAUAAAAGCUACCCUGGGAUAACAGGCUUAUCACUCCCAAGAGUUCACAUCGACGGAGUGGUUUGGCACCUCGAUGUCGGCUCAUCGCAUCCUGGAGCUGUAGCAGGUUCCAAGGGUUGGGCUGUUCGCCCAUUAAAGCGGUACGCGAGCUGGGUUCAGAACGUCGUGAGACAGUUCGGUCCCUAUCCGGCGUGGGCGUAGGAUAUUUGAGAGGAGCUGUCCUUAGUACGAGAGGACCGGGAUGGACAAACCUCUGGUGUAUCUGUUGUUUUACCAAAGGCAUGGCAGAGUAGCCAAGUUUGGCAGGGAUAAACGCUGAAGGCAUCUAAGCGUGAAGCCCCCCUCAAGAUAAGAUAUCCCAUCUUCGGAGUAAGACCCCUUGAAGACUACAAGGUUGAUAGGCUUCAGGUGUAAGUGUGGUAACGCACUCAGCUGAGAAGUACUAAUAGGUCGAGGACUUACCAA
rnacentral:rRNA from 1 species